UUCAUGCAGAAGUAGAAAUUUUGAAAGAAAGCAGGAAUCAGUAGGAGAUAAAAGCUAUCCUAUGAAGAAGAGACCUAUAUACCUUUGAUUUUAGUCCCCUUGAUGAUGCUGAUAUGAAAGGAAUGAGAAAAGAUAUGAUCCAAGAGCUAUGAACAUACUUUGGGAAGACUAUUAAAGGAAUGUAUCAUAAUGUGUCACUGUGUCACAAGAUCAUGGGCUUCCACAUGAGUUCUGUAUCCUUUAAAAUAGACAUCUUGGGGAUGCUCGACAUGAAGAAAAUAAAUUAAAUGUUUCAACGACUCUUUCCUUUGGAUUGCCUUGAGAGUGUCUGGCACUGUUUUAACAUUUUCAGUGGUGACAAGUUCUCUGUCUUUAGAGACUGGUUUUGAAAAAGUGAAGAAAAAAAAGAAAAAAAAAAAAAAAAGGAAAAAGCUGUCCAGAGUUAAGUCUAGAGAGUAAGGUAAUAAUUGCUUUACUUGAAUUUUAAUUGAGAUAUGAAUAUAAAAUAAAAACCACAAUUUUCCCUUCCUUCCCACUUCUUUUCCUUCCACAUGUCUAGAACCUGGCUGAGGAUGACUGAAAUGUCAGGCACUGGCUGGCCUUUUCUCCCCAAAGGACCUCUCCAAGUGUCUAGCACCUACUUCCUCACAGUCUCAGCAGCAGUGGGUGAUUUCCUCAGAGGGAGCACUCCAGGAAGCAAGAGGCAAAAGUUGUCAGUCUCAGAGGCCUGAGCCCAGGCACUGAGGCACCAUCUCUGCAGCCACAUUCUUUGUGUAAAAGCAGUUUCAAAGAGCCAGCCCACAUUCAAGGCAAGAGACACAAACCUCAGAA